rnacentral:rRNA from 1 species
AACGAACGCUGGCGGCAUGCCUAACACAUGCAAGUCGAACGAGACCUUCGGGUCUAGUGGCGCACGGGUGCGUAACGCGUGGGAACCUGCCCUUAGGCUCGGAAUAACUCUCCGAAAGGGGUGCUAAUACCGGAUAAUGUCUUCGGACCAAAGAUUUAUCGCCUUUGGAUGGGCCCGCGUUGGUUUAGCUAGUUGGUAGGGUAAAAGCCUACCAAGGCGACGAUCCAUAGCUGGUCUGAGAGGAUGAUCAGCCACACUGGGACUGAGACACGGCCCAGACUCCUACGGGAGGCAGCAGUGGGGAAUAUUGGACAAUGGGCGAAAGCCUGAUCCAGCAAUGCCGCGUGAGUGAUGAAGGCCUUAGGGUUGUAAAGCUCUUUUACCCGGGAUGAUAAUGACAGUACCGGGAGAAUAAGCACCGGCUAACUCCGUG